rnacentral:rRNA from 1 species
AGCCUAAAGAAAAAUUAUUUUCAUUUUAGGUAUUAUCUGCCCAAUGAAAUUUCUUUUUAAUGGCCGCAGUACCCUGACUGUGCUAAGGUAGCAUAAUAAAUUGACUUUUAAUUGAAGCCUAGAAUAAAUGAAUAUAAGAACAAGAAGCUGUUUCAUAAUGGAUUAGUUUUAAUUUACUUAAGAGGUGCAAACUCCUCUACUAUAGAAGAAGGACGAGAAGACCCUAAGAAUUUAAUCUAUUAUUUGAAAAGUAAAAUAAAUUAAAUUAUUAAUUUUCAUGUAUAAUAGUUUUGUUGGGGUGACAGACUUACAUUAUAAAACUAAAUUUUCAUAAUUCAGAACAAGUCUUAAUAUUUAGAAAGAGAAAAUUACCUUAGGGAUAACAGCAUAAUUUUGAUUUAAGAUUGUGACCUCGAUGUUGGACUAGGAACUGAAUAAUUAGAAAUUAAUACAGUAACGUUCUGUUCGAACUUACAUUCUCCU